AAAUUAAAAAAAACGAACAAAUUAAAUCAAGCUAAUGAGGAUUGCAUUGGAUUUAAAACAAAAUUAGAGGAGAAAAAAUGAAAAUAAAAUAAAGCAAAAGGGCCGAAUGUAAUGCGCAAAUAACUUGGGGGACCAAGUGGGAAAUAAUCUCUGUCCCUCCAAAACGUGACGUUUCAACCUGGACUGAAAUGAAACAAAAUAAAAAUACAGGGCGAAAUUUAAAAAAUAAAAAAAACUGAUUUGAAUACGUCACAAAAGAGGGGGACCAAAUGUGAAAAUUGCCCAAUAGCUGCAAAACGCGCGGAUCCUAUCAUCGGGUCGGGUCAGUACGUGGGUCACGGGCCAAUACGGCACCGUUUUAAAGCCACUUAAAUAGGCUCUAAACAGUGUCGUUUUAUGCCCUAUAUAAAUACCACUCAAAACCCUAAAGUCAGAAUACUUUACAACUUUAUUAAAUUAUUAGAAAAAAACCUAAACCUCUUUCGCCCUCUGCCGCCUCAAAACCCGUAACUCUGUCUGACUCCGAUUUGGACGGAGUAAACAGAGCUCCGACGACGUGCUCGCACAGGUUUGGCCAGCCUAGAGUGGAGGCACACAUGCGGCUGGGGCGAGAGGCUGGUGCGUGCGGAGGGCAGGAGCUGCGCCUGGAUUGUUCUAGAAACCCUAGGGGUUUCUGAAAACUAUUUUUUCGGGCUUCAAUGUAAUUGGGCUGGUAUUGGGCUAUUUGGGUUAAUGUAUUGGGCUAUUUGGGUUAAUAGAUAUUUGGGCUGUGUAAAUGGACUUUUAUAUAGACUGCUAUUUUAUUAUUUUUAUUGGUUUAUUUUAGUUUGGUUUUAAUGGGCCCGAAUAAAAUUUGGAUUUUACA